GACGGGGACCCGCACAAGCAGCGGAGCAUGUGGUUUAAUUCGAAGCAACGCGAAGAACCUUACCAGGUCUUGACAUCCAUCUAAAGCGAUAGAGAUAUCGUGUGAGCUUGCUCGAGAUGAGACAGGUGGUGCAUGGUUGUCGUCAGCUCGUGUCGUGAGAUGUUGGGUUAAGUCCCGCAACGAGCGCAACCCUUAUCGUCCGUUACUAACAGGUAAAGCUGAGGACUCAGACGAGACUGCCGGGGACAACUCGGAGGAAGGUGGGGACGACGUCAAAUCAUCAUGCCCCUUACGACCUGGGCUACACACGUGCUACAAUGGGUACAACAAAGAGAAGCAAAACCGCAAGGCGGAGCAAAACUCAAAAAGUACUCUCAGUUCGGAUUGUGGGCUGCAACCCGCCCACAUGAAGUUGGAGUUGCUAGUAAUCGCGGAUCAGCAUGCCGCGGUGAAUACUGUUCCCGGGUCUUGUACACACCGCCCGUCACACCAUGGGAGUUGGGAGCGCCCGAAGCCAGUGAGCUAACCGCAAGGAGGCAGCUGUCGAAGGUGAGACCAAUGACUGGGGUGAAGUCGUAACAAGGUAG
rnacentral:rRNA from 1 species